GUUUGAUCCUGGCUCAGAGCGAACGUUAGCGGCGCGCCUAACACAUGCAAGUCGCACGAGAAAGGGGGCAACCCCCGGUACAGUGGCGCACGGGUGAGUAACACGUGGGUGAUCUGCCCAGAAGAAGGGGAUAACCUCUCGAAAGGGGGGCUAAUACCGCAUAGGACCACCGGGGCUUUGGCUCUGUGGUGAAAGGGGGCCUCUGUUUACAAGCUCCUGCUUCUGGAUGAGCCCGCGUCCCAUCAGCUAGUUGGUAGGGUAAUGGCCUACCAAGGCUACGACGGGUAGCUGGUCUAAGAGGAUGGCCAGCCACACUGGAACUGAGACACGGUCCAGACUCCUACGGGAGGCAGCAGUGGGGAAUCUUGCGCAAUGGGCGAAAGCCUGACGCAGCGACGCCGCGUGGGUGACGAAGGCCUGGUGU
rnacentral:rRNA from 1 species